rnacentral:pre_miRNA from 1 species
GAGACACCCUUAUGGGGCAGGACUUGCUUCAGUGGGGCUUUGGUCCUCACUGAGUCUGCCCCUUGAGUGUGUCGCU